ensembl:lncRNA
CACCAUUUCACAGAGAAAAGGAUAGUUUACCUCUUCUCCCUCGCUGCCGAGUGGGAUGUGAGUUGAGGGACAUAUGGGAAGCGCAGGAAUAAGCUGAGAGGAGAAAUUACUGAGGAAAUGUUUUGAGGUGUCUGUAGGGAUCUGGUAGGGAUAUUUCCUUGUCUCAGACAUUUAUAUCCCAAUGCCUCAAACCCAGCCCAUCAUCAGAGUGUGACGGUUUUGACAGGCAUCCAAUGAGGCCAAACCACCCUGGUUAUUGUGCUUGGACCUAUCUUGUACUUUAAGUCCUGGUCCUGAGGCACGUAGUGGAGUUUGGUCAAGGCUUCACCCCAGAAACCUUCCCUCUCAGGCUGGAGGCUGAGGCAGAGCAGGCUCAUUCAGGGUGGGGCCUCACGGAACAGGUGGGAGCGAGUCCUCUCGUUGGCCGAGGCCGACAGCCAAUGAUUAUCUGCAGGGCGCCGGGAUUGAGAGUCUGUGAGCAAAAAGGUCUGUCUACAAAAGAAGGUGGAAGUAGAAGGAGGAGGGAGAGACAGCUGUAAGGCAAAAGGAGUGAGAGCAGAAGAAAGAGGAGGGAGAUGGAGAGUCAAGGACUGGUUAAGGAUUGAACCUGAAACUACUCGGUCUGCCAUGUUACAGCUACAUCAGUCUGACUCCACCUCCUGCUGAUGUGAAGAACACACACACACAUCAACACAAUUCACACACACACACACACCAGCAUUCCCCAUCUGGUCCCUGAGGAAGACUGAGUUACCACGCUUGAUAAGAACACUUUUGAGGUCCCACUGCUCCAUCUCAAUUGGAACUGGCAGAAUCAACCACUAAUCGGAUUAGUUAAAAUUGUUGGCAUUUUCUUUCUCUCAUUACUUUUGUUUGUCUUCCCUCCUUUUCUUUCCUCAACCAUGAUAUCACGUGUCUCUUUUUCUUGUUAUCACAGGCAGAUAUAUUUUCUCUCUUAAGUUUUUCUAACUGGAGAAUGAGAGGAAAACAGCAAGACAGCAUUUUUAAAUCUCUUUGCCCUUUGGAUGGUGUUUUGAAGCAGUAGACAGAGAACUCACACUUCAUCUAUCAUCUAGGUUUUUCUUUUUCUCAUCAAAUGUAACAAAGUGAUUGAAGAGGUUCAACAAGAUUCUAGGCCCCCACAUCAAUUAUGUGAAAACAAAUGAAAUACCAAACAAAAUUCCUAAUUUUAUAUUAAUUAUGCAACAGUGCCAAGCACAUAUUAGUAAUACUAUCAAAUAUAUUAUAUGAUACUGUAUGUUCUGUGUCACAUUCUUGAGUAAUGGAGCACUCUUGUUCCACACAAAAUUGAAAAUAUUUACAGCAGACUAAGACCUGGGUCCAAAGAGCAUGUGUAAAUCUCAUUAGCUAUAUAUCCAAGUGUUCGAGAACGGCAAUUACUAAAUUAUGAAUGUGAAAUUAAUAAGAAAAAGGGCUGAGUGUCUGAAAGAGAGAUUCAUCUUGUCCUAGUUAUGCCAAAGGCAAGAGGUAUAUUUCAUGAACCCCCAUUUCUCACUUAGCUUUAUAGGCACACACACACGCACACACACAUACACACAUAAAUAAAAAAUAGAAUGCUUAGCCAAGAGCCAACAUUUACUCUGUAACUGUAUGGAGCAUGACAAAAACACAAAUAAAAUAAUCUAAAAUUAUUGAUUUACAGUAUGUAUACAGAUGAAUGAUCAUGGAACUGUGUAAGUGUGUUUGUGAUUGUUUGUGUGUGUGUGUCUGGGUGUAUUUGCAAACUUGAGUAGCUAUGUGUGAAGGCUAGCUA